UGUAACGGGGCUAAACCAUGCACCGAAGCUGCGGCAGCGACGCUGAUGCGUUGUUGGGUAGGGGAGCGUUCUGUAAGCCUGCGAAGGUGGCCUGUGAGGGUUGCUGGAGGUAUCAGAAGUGCGAAUGCUGACAUAAGUAACGAUAAAGCGGGUGAAAAGCCCGCUCGCCGGAAGACCAAGGGUUCCUGUCCAACGUUAAUCGGGGCAGGGUGAGUCGACCCCUAAGGCGAGGCCGAAAGGCGUAGUCGAUGGGAAACGGGUUAAUAUUCCCGUACUUGGUGUUACUGCGAAGGGGGGACGGAGAAGGCUAUGUUGGCCGGGCGACGGUUGUCCCGGUUUAAGCGUGUAGGUGUGUGUUCCAGGUAAAUCCGGUUCACUUUAACACUGAGGCGUGAUGACGAGGCACUACGGUGCUGAAGCAACAAAUGCCCUGCUUCCAGGAAAAGCCUCUAAGCAUCAGGUAACAUCAAAUCGUACCCCAAACCGACACAGGUGGUCAGGUAGAGAAUACCAAGGCGCUUGAGAGAACUCGGGUGAAGGAACUAGGCAAAAUGGUGCCGUAACUUCGGGAGAAGGCACGCUGACACGUAGGUGAAGUGAUUUACUCAUGGAGCUGAAGUCAGUCGAAGAUACCAGCUGGCUGCAACUGUUUAUUAAAAACACAGCACUGUGCAAACACGAAAGUGGACGUAUACGGUGUGACGCCUGCCCGGUGCCGGAAGGUUAAUUGAUGGGGUCAGCGCAAGCGAAGCUCCUGAUCGAAGCCCCGGUAAACGGCGGCCGUAACUAUAACGGUCCUAAGGUAGCGAAAUUCCUUGUCGGGUAAGUUCCGACCUGCACGAAUGGCGUAAUGAUGGCCAGGCUGUCUCCACCCGAGACUCAGUGAAAUUGAACUCGCUGUGAAGAUGCAGUGUACCCGCGGCAAGACGGAAAGACCCCGUGAACCUUUACUAUAGCUUGACACUGAACAUUGAGCCUUGAUGUGUAGGAUAGGUGGGAGGCUUUGAAGUGUGGACGCCAGUCUGCAUGGAGCCGGCCUUGAAAUACCACCCUUUAAUGUUUGAUGUUCUAACGUGGACCCGUGAUCCGGGUUGCGGACAGUGUCUGGUGGGUAGUUUGACUGGGGCGGUCUCCUCCUAAAGAGUAACGGAGGAGCACGAAGGUUGGCUAAUCCUGGUCGGACAUCAGGAGGUUAGUGCAAUGGCAUAAGCCAGCUUGACUGCGAGCGUGACGGCGCGAGCAGGUGCGAAAGCAGGUCAUAGUGAUCCGGUGGUUCUGAAUGGAAGGGCCAUCGCUCAACGGAUAAAAGGUACUCCGGGGAUAACAGGCUGAUACCGCCCAAGAGUUCAUAUCGACGGCGGUGUUUGGCACCUCGAUGUCGGCUCAUCACAUCCUGGGGCUGAAGUAGGUCCCAAGGGUAUGGCUGUUCGCCAUUUAAAGUGGUACGCGAGCUGGGUUUAGAACGUCGUGAGACAGUUCGGUCCCUAUCUGCCGUGGGCGCUGGAGAACUGAGGGGGGCUGCUCCUAGUACGAGAGGACCGGAGUGGACGCAUCACUGGUGUUCGGGUUGUCAUGCCAAUGGCACUGCCCGGUAGCUAAAUGCGGAAGAGAUAAGUGCUGAAAGCAUCUAAGCACGAAACUUGCCCCGAGAUGAGUUCUCCCUGAGACUUAGAGUCUCCUGAAGGAACGUUGAAGACGACGACGUUGAUAGGCCGGGUGUGUAAGCGCAGCGAUGCGUUGAGCUAACCGGUACUAAUGAACCGUGAGGCUUAACCUUACA
rnacentral:rRNA from 1 species